CUUGCUGAAUUAUUCACCCUUGUCUUUUGCGUACUUCUUGUUUCCUUGGUGGGUUCGCCCACCACUAGGACAAACAUAAACCUUUUGUAAUUGCAAUCAGCGUCAGUAACAAAUUAAUAAUUACAACUUUCAACAACGGAUCUCUUGGUUCUGGUCGAUGAAGAACGCAGCGAAAUGCGAUAAGUAGUGUGAAUUGCAGAAUUCAGUGAAUCAUCGAAUCUUUGAACGCAUUGCGCCCUUUGGUAUUCCAAAGGGCAUGCCUGUUCGAGCGUCAUUUGUACCCUCAAGCUUUGCUUGGUGUUGGGCGUCUUGUCUCUAGCUUUGCUGGAGACUCGCCUUAAAGUAAUUGGCAGCCGGCCUACUGGUUUCGGAGCGCAGCACAAGUCGCACUCUCUAUCAGCAAAGGUCUAGCAUCCAUUAAGCCUUUUUUUCAACUUUUGACCUCGGAUCAGGUAGGGAUACCCGCUGAACUUAAGCAUAUCAAAAAACCGGGAAGAAAAA
rnacentral:rRNA from 1 species